AUUGAACGCUGGCGGCAUGCCUUACACAUGCAAGUCGAACGGCAGCACGGGAGCAAUCCUGGUGGCGAGUGGCGAACGGGUGAGUAAUAUAUCGGAACGUGCCCAGUCGUGGGGGAUAACGUAGCGAAAGCUACGCUAAUACCGCAUACGAUCUAUGGAUGAAAGCGGGGGAUCGCAAGACCUCGCGCGAUUGGAGCGGCCGAUAUCAGAUUAGGUAGUUGGUGAGGUAAAGGCUCACCCAAGCCGACGAUCUGUAGCUGGUCUGAGAGGACGACCAGCCACACUGGGACUGAGACACGGCCCAGACUCCUACGGGAGGCAGCAGUGGGGGAAUUUUUGGACAAUGGGCGCAAGCCUGAUCCAGCAAUGCCGCGUGCAGGAUGAAGGCCUUC
rnacentral:rRNA from 1 species